rfam:Triticum aestivum genome assembly, contig: Triticum_aestivum_CS42_TGACv1_scaffold_221420_3B
UUUGUACUCCCUGCGUCCAAAAAUUCUUGUCUUAAAUUUGUCUAAAUACGGAUGUAUCUAGUUACAUUUUCGUGUUAGAUACAUCCGUAUCUAAACAAAUGUAAGACAAGAAUUUUGGGACGGAGGGAAUACUAC